AUGUGCUCUGCUUUUUGCUCAAUGCUUGUGGUGGCCCUGCUGCUAAUUCUCAGAAGGACGAAUGGAGACUCAGUGACCCAGACAGAGGGCCCUGUUACCCUCCCUGAGGGGGCAGCUCUGACCCUGAACUGCACUUAUCAGACCAGCUAUUCAGUUUUGUUUUCCUGGUAUGUUCAGUAUCUUAAUAAAGCCCCUCAACUACUCCUAAAGAGCUCAACAGAAAACCAGAGGACAGAGAAUCAAGGUUUUCAGGCCACUCUUGUUAAAAGUGACAGCUCCUUCCACCUGAAGAAACCCUCAGUGCGAACGUCAGACUCAGCUGUGUACUACUGCGCUCUGGAAGACACAGUGAGAGGAGCUGCAGGGGCAGCCGAGCACAAACCCAGAGGGGCACAGGUGCGGCCUGGGUGUGAGCAGCCCUAG